UCCCAUUUAAAAAUAAAUAUACGGUGCAAAUUUAAAAAUAUUGUACUCUUUCACUACUAUUAGUAAGUGAUAACGCGUAACUGACCAUCCAACAAAUCAAUCCAUAAUUGUGCUUCAAAACUUCUUCAACCUAUUUUAAGUAGCUUUAUAUCCGUGCUGAAAGUGUUCUAUUUCACAAUUCCCAUCAUUGUGACAACAAACAAAUUUCAUGUGUAAAAAUUCUUGUCCCAUCACACCAAUGGAAGACAUUGUGAUGUAAAAUUAGGUGGCAUUCAUGUUUGACAAAUUCUUG
rnacentral:lncRNA from 1 species